UUAGAACUCGUUCAUACUCAACAAGGAACUAAUUAAUAAUCGCCGAGUAAAACAGUGGGAGCCAUGCCAGAUAAGUUAUUCUAGCAUCCUAACAGGCCCAUAAGGUAGAUAUCCAGUCUACAGGUAAACUGCACUAGAACAAAGCUGAUGAAGGUGUUCUUUGCUAAUUUCUAAGUUGGAUCGGUUAAAGUCUGCUAAUUCUGAAGUCUGAUUACAUAGGAUAUAUUUGUUUCUAUUUUUAGCUGUACAUUCCAUUGUGUUUUGUUGUACUUAAGGCUUCUUGAUCCUUUAGUCCAUGAAUAAUUCCACCCACCAUCUAUUAGUGAAUCAUGAGGAGAUCCAAAUUGGCUCACGCCAUUAAAUGUGGACAUUUAUGAUGAUUGUAAUGAUAGAAAUCAUCCAAAAAAUCUUGGUGCCGGGAUUUAUGCAUGAUGUACGUGGUGUUGAAUUUGAGUGCAGCAUGAAGUUUAGGGUGCAUUUGGUUCGCACUAUCUUUUUAAGAUUCCUAGUAAUCUAAUAGGAAUAAAAAAAUAUGACGAUGUUUGGCUAAAUGUACUAAGUAAUCUAGUUGGUAAUAUUGGAUUUACUUAGGAAUUAGAUUCAUCCCAAAAUACUAAUUUCAUUCCCUUGAGGGAGGGUGGGUAUUCUCAUAUUAAUGGAUUGGGAUAAUCAUAAUAUGUUUAAUCUGUUUCUUUCUUCCUACUCGCCAGCUAGUUGGUAUUAUUUUCCUUUACACUCUAAUCUCAUAUCUCUCUCUAAGCUCAUCUUUUUCUCUCUAAACUUCAACUCUUUUUCUCUCUCUAAACUAAGCUCUCUCUCCCCCUCUAUUUCUAAAAUCUCAACUCUCUUACUCCCUCUAAUCUCGACUCUAUUUCUCUUCCUAUUUUUUUAAUUAUGCUCUCUCUCUCUCUCUCUCUAACCUAUGUUUUCUCUCCCUUUUUUUCUAAAAAUAUGUUGAAAUUUUGAGUAGCAUUAUCAAAAAUUAAUUAAAAAAAUAAAUUAAUUAAUUGUAUAUUUUCUGUAAUCUUAAAUAAUAUGACUAAAUAAUAUGACCGUGCGAACCAAACACAUGAAUGCCACAUUCUUAGUAAUAGGAUGAAUAAGAAUAAGAUUCUCGGAUAUUUUUUUUAUUUCUAGUAAUCUUUUAUAGUGAGAACCAAACGCACCCUUAAGGUUAUGUUAGUGCAUCAAACAUAUAUUGAGAGUGACAUGAAGGUUUUCUUCUGCAAUUACAUCUUGUUUCCUUUGUCCUAAAAAGCCUUGAAUGAACUAAAGUUCCUUUCCUUUUCUGCAGGUUUACCCUAAACUUAGGGUCAUGUUUUGGGUUAUGUAAAAUUCUGUUACCUGAUAAAUAAAUGAUUAUUAUAUGCUUAUCAGUAAGAGAUAUAAUAAUCUGUGUCCCAGUUCUUUCGUUCUCAUUUUUCUUCCUUCACAUCUUCAAAAUCUCUUUCCAUUAUCUAUUACCUGCUGGAAUUUGUUGAUUCAAGUUAUCUGUGUGCUGUUUCUGCUGAUUUGCAUACUAUCAUCAUUUUCAAUUGAACCUCUCAUAUUUCAACAGUACAAGAAACUGUACCUAUCCUUCAUCAACGAGAUCCCUAAUGAUCUACCUUUGAUAUUUCUCUUCAUCAUCAACAUUAUUUUUUAGAUUAAAAAAACCAAAGAGAGUCCCCAACCGCAAGUACUAUGUGAAAACCUACUAUGAGCCAAUUAUCUCUAUUCUUUAGAUAACUAAGUGAGUAUUGUCCAGUUACACAAUGUGACUUUCAUCACCUCCAUUACAAGACAGUUAUGUCUUUUCAGUAGUCUUCAAUUCCUAUGCCAUCAAAACCUCCAGGGCCUCUUUAGUGUAGUGCAGUUUAAGUAGUGUUAUUAGGAUAAGUGCUAUAUUAAGAUCUUCCCAAACUGCUUUUCUCUGUAGCACAAUAAGAAAUUCCAAUUGGAGCUUAUGCUUUUGAUGCUCACUGUUCAGAAUCUCAUUUUAGCUUCCCAUUACAGCAAAAGCUCCAGACUCUUUAUUUGCCAAACACUACAAUAGAGGAAGUUGCAGCUGAAAAUAGAAGUAGAAGCGAGCUGAAACUGGCACUCAAUAUUGGCAGGUAUAUUGUACCAUUGUGUCACUAAACUUAUGCUUAGUUUCAGGUAGAUCAUUGAACUUCAAUUUUAUGCAAUUGAGCCACUGAAUUCUGUUUCAAUUAGGUUACUUUGUCAAAUUCAAUUUAGUUUUCCUAAUAGAGGAAUGAUGUGGUAGUUGAUUUAGUUGUCACGUGUUUUCUAAGAGAUGACGUGGCAGGUGAUUCAGUUGGCUAAUUCAGUUGUCUCUUCAUCUCUAGAUUACUAUGAUUUAACUACUGCAUCAUCUUAUAGAAGUGCGUUGUGGCUGAAUCAACAACAACAUCAUUUCCAAGAGAUGAUAUGACAACUAAAUCAGCUGCCACAUCAUUCCUCCUUUAGAGAAAUUAAAUGGACUUUAAUGGAAUGACCCAAUUGAAAAAUGAAAUGAAGUUUAAUGGCUUAAUUGCAACAGAUUGAAGUUUAGCAACGUAAAAGAAACUUUGUGCAAGUUUUGUGACCAAUGGUGUUAUUUACUCCAAUAUUUUGACUUGAAUGCUUCACUUUGGAAAUAAGUUAGUGGUUCCCUAUAAGUUGAGAUAGAAAAACAAAAUAGGAGUCCACUUUAUUUACAUGUUUUCGCUAGGAAAUCAAAUUUUGUAUACAAUGUUGAGCCUAUAGACAAGCUUGGUGGUAACUAUUCCAAAUGUUGAGCGUAUUAACGAACUUAAUUAUCUGCAAGGAAGUUGGCUUAGUUUAAAGUAGAGAUAGCUGGUUAGGUUGUCUGGGGAAUUUGUACUUUGGUUGCAAUACCCUUUUUGUAAGCUGUUUAUUAUUAAACUCUUAGCCUUUGUUUGGUUGGGGGUUAAGGGGUGGAAUAACCCCUUAACCCCCAUAUUAUUCCCAAACACUCCAAAAAAUGGGUGGGGUUAGCUAACCACCUAACCCGAGAUAGUCCAUUUUGGGUGGGGUUAGCUAACCCCACCAAACCCCAACCAAAUACUAUUUUUUAUUCAUAAUAACCCACUAUCCUUCUUAUCCCAUCUACUCCAACCAAACACUAUUUUUCACUAUCCUGGACUUACUCCAACCUCCAACCAAACACAAAAAUACUCUAAUCCCACCUUAACCCUGAACUUAACCCUAUCCCUGGAAUAACUAGUUUUUUCUUAACCCCGAACCAAACGGUAGCUUAGCCUUUGGUUAUUCAAUAAUGCUCUUAGAUAGUCUUGCUGCUUUACUGAAAGAGGGUAAGAGUUUCUGAUCUUUUUAUUGCAGAGAUUUUAUAUGGUGAAGCCUUGCCCAAAAGAGAUGAAAUGUGAUGUUGAGGUAAGAUCAAUUUUCUCAAUUUUGCUUAUAUCAAAGGGCCUUAGACAUCUGACUAUUAAAUAAUAAUUGAAACACUUUGGUUGGAGAUGUUGUAUUCUGCUUUGGCUUAGUUGAGCAUACUUUCAUAAAGACGAAGUUUACUAAUUACUUAGCCUUUUCUCUUUACGAGUAGUCGGAAAACAUAAGAAAAUCUGCUUGAAACUUAGUUUAAUCAUUUGUCAUACUCAAUUAGUUCCAUUGGUUAGCCCUAGAUUUGCACGUUUCAAAAUUGUUACCUGAUUGAGUGAUCUUUUUCUCUUUAUGUAUUCGGUAAUUUUAGUUUCAGCUCACCAUUUAGCUUACACUUGUUCUCUGUUUCUUCAAUUAGCUUACAAAUGUUCUCUGUUUCUACAAUCAAGUUUGUUGAAGAGAGAUCAGAUUGAUCUUACUGACCAUGGAAUCUUACAUGCAGAAAUUCCUCCAGCUAUAGAUGAAAAUAUAUAUCCACCAUGUAUCGCAUUUAUAUGUCAUGAAGGC
rnacentral:lncRNA from 1 species